CAGCUGUAACCAACACCUCCAAUCUCAUCUCAUUGAUUGGACUCCAGUUGGCUGACAUCUCACUCCAAUUAGCUCUUGGAGAUGUCAUUAGACUAGGGGUUCACAUACUUUUUCCACCUGCACUGUGAAUGUUUACAUGGUGUGUUCAAUAAAAACAUGGCAACAUUUCAUUCUUUGUGUGUUAUUAGUUUAAGCAGACUGUG